rnacentral:misc_RNA from 1 species
UGUGAUGGAUUAAGAAAACUUGUUAGGCGUGAAGAAAAUUUAACUUGGUUUAGUGCAUUUUUCUUUAAAAAAAAAAUUAUAACGAAUAUAUGAAACUUUAGUAGGUUUUACUAAGGUAUAUUGACUGAAUAAGAGUUUAUAUGUGCUUUUAUAUGGGAACUCACGAUUAAGCAGUUUCCGCAAUAUAAAACAACUUGAAUUACCAAAAUUUCAGACUUUGCUACUAUUUUCAGCAGGUGAACGUAUUUUCUGUAGCUAAAUGGAUUGGAAAGUAGAGAUAAAAAGAAAACUAGAAAUCAAUUUUGUUCAAGUAAGCAUGUCCUUCAAUUCAUCCAUUAUUGAGAGAAUAAAUAGUUUGGAAA